rnacentral:rRNA from 1 species
CUUGCACCGGGUGGAUGAGUGGCGAACGGGUGAGUAACACGUGAGUAACCUGCCCCUGACUUCGGGAUAAGCCCGGGAAACUGGGUCUAAUACCGGAUACGACUGCCGGACGCAUGUCUGGUGGUGGAAAGUUUUUUCGGUUGGGGAUGGGCUCGCGGCCUAUCAGUUUGUUGGUGAGGUAAUGGCUCACCAAGACGACGACGGGUAGCCGGCCUGAGAGGGCGACCGGCCACACUGGGACUGAGACACGGCCCAGACUCCUACGGGAGGCAGCAGUGGGGAAUAUUGCACAAUGGGGGAAACCCUGAUGCAGCGACGCAGCGUGCGGGAUGACGGCCUUCGGGUUGUAAACCGCUUUCAGCAGGGAAGAAGCGCAAGUGACGGUACCUGCAGAAGAAGUACCGGCUAACUACGUGCCAGCAGCCGCGGUAAUACGUAGGGUACGAGCGUUGUCCGGAAUUAUUGGGCGUAAAGAGCUCGUAGGUGGUUGGUCACGUCUGCUGUGGAAACGCAACGCUUAACGUUGCGCGUGCAGUGGGUACGGGCUGACUAGAGUGCAGUAGGGGAGUCUGGAAUUCCUGGUGUAGCGGUGAAAUGCGCAGAUAUCAGGAGGAACACCGGUGGCGAAGGCGGGACUCUGGGCUGUAACUGACACUGAGGAGCGAAAGCAUGGGGAGCGAACAGGAUUAGAUACCCUGGUAGUCCAUGCCGUAAACGUUGGGCACUAGGUGUGGGGGGCAUUCCACGUUCUCCGCGCCGUAGCUAACGCAUUAAGUGCCCCGCCUGGGGAGUACGGUCGCAAGGCUAAAACUCAAAGGAAUUGACGGGGGCCCGCACAAGCGGCGGAGCAUGCGGAUUAAUUCGAUGCAACGCGAAGAACCUUACCAAGGCUUGACAUACACCGGACCGUCCUGGAAACAGGUCCUCUUCUUUGAAGCUGGUGUACAGGUGGUGCAUGGUUGUCGUCAGCUCGUGUCGUGAGAUGUUUGGGUUAAGUCCCGCAACGAGCGCAACCCUCGUUCUAUGUUGCCAGCAUGGGGAUGGUGGGAACUCAUAGGAGACUGCCGGG